rnacentral:misc_RNA from 1 species
AACGCACAUUGCGCCCCUUGGUAUUCCAUGGGGCAUGCCUGUUCGAGCGUCAUUUGUACCUUCAAGCUUUGCUUGGUGUUGGGUGUUUGUCUCGCCUCUGCGCGCAGACUCGCCUCAAAACAAUUGGCAGCCGGCGUAUUGAUUUCGGAGCGCAGUACAUCUCGCGCUUUGCACUCAUAACGACGACGUCCAAAAAGUACAUUUUUUACACUCUUGACCUCGGAUCAGGUAGGGAUACCCGCUGAACUUAA